CGUUCGCGCUGCUACUACAGGACCCGAGCCUAAGCAUUAGGGUAAGGUCCAGGCACGUGUGCGUGCCACUUGAGGCGUAUGGCCCACUGGACUGGGACUGCUGAUCUACGGGGCAGCGUAGGAUCUCGCAUGGACGAGUCGAUGAGCACGCCGCUGAGUGAUGAGGUUUCGAUCGUAAGCUCUGUUGUUAGGGAGACAUGCAGAGUACUGCUCGCACUGACGUACUACAGAAAGCAGCUACUACGUGCAGCAGCGCGGUAUAGUAGGUGGCAGCGUGUCGGAAUUAUUGGGCGUAAAGGGCUCGCGGCGGUUCUUAAGUUGAUGUGAAAGCCCCCGCUCACCGGGGAGGGUCAUUGGAAACUGGGAAACUUGAGUGCAGAGAGGAGAGUGGAAUUCCACGUGUAGCGUGAAAUGCGUAGAGAUGUGGAGGAACACCAGUGGCGAGGGCGACUCUCUGGUCUGUAACUGACGCUGAGGAGCGAAGCGUGGGGAGCGAACAGGAUUAGAUACCCCUGGUAGUCCACGCCGUAAACGAUGAGUGCUAAGUGUUAGGGGGUUUCCGCCCCUUAGUGCUGCAGCUAACGCAUUAAGCACUCCGCCUGGGGAGUACGGUCGCAAGACUGAAACUCAAAGGAAUUGACGGGGGCCCGCACCAGCGGUGGAGCAUGUGGUUUAAUUCGAAGCAACGCGAAGAACCUUACCAGGUCUUGACAUCCUCUGACAACCCUAGAGAUAGGGCUUUCCCUUCGGGGACAGAGUGACAGGUGGUGCAUGGUUGUCGUCAGCUCGUGUCGUGAGAUGUUGGGUUAAGUCCCGCAACGAGCGCAACCCUUGAUCUUAGUUGCCAGCAUUUAGUUGGGCACUCUAAGGUGACUGCCGGUGACAAACCGGAGGAAGGUGGGGAUGACGUCAAAUCAUCAUGCCCCUUAUGACCUGGGCUACACACGUGCUACAAUGGACAGAACAAAGGGCUGCAAGACCGCAAGGUUUAGCCAAUCCCAUAAAUCUGUUCUCAGUUCGGAUCGCAGUCUGCAACUCGACUGCGUGAAGCUGGAAUCGCUAGUAAUCGCGGAUCAGCAUGCCGCGGUGAAUACGUUCCCGGGCCUUGUACACACCGCCCGUCACACCACGAGAGUUUGCAACACCCGAAGUCGGUGAGGUAACCUUUAUGGAGCCAGCCGCCGAAGGUGGGGCAGAUGAUUGGGGUGAAGUCCGUAACCCAGUGGCCUUUGG
rnacentral:rRNA from 1 species